rfam:Schistosoma rodhaini strain Burundi genome assembly, scaffold: SROB_scaffold0002262
AACUUUUUUGAAUUCAUGCAAAGAUUUCGUCAGACACCGACCCAUUAGGGCUGAUUAGACUUCCAAGAUAAGUGAAGUU